CCUUUUCUUCUUUCCCUUGGAUCAAAUCAAGGACAAUCAUAACUUUACAAAAUUUCAACAUCAUUGAUAUGCUCUUGAACUCUCUGGCCAUCAUCAAAACUAGCCAAAACAAAAGGGCACUGUGUAUGUCUACACACACCAGAUUCCUUUAAUUUUUCUUGUUUUAAGUCAUUGCGAAUGAAACUUGGGAUUUCUCCUGUUGAGGAGGUUAAAAGUACGUGUCGUUCCCUGCAUAGAUCCUGAUACGUGUAGUUUUCAUUUGCACGAAGCUUUUGCCAACAGAUAUAGAAGGAAGUGAAGAAGAACAAAAUAGACAGACAGAGAGAGUUGAAGUGAAAAGCGGGUGAUUUACACAAAGCUGCAUUAUUUGGAAACCUUCAUAUUAUUGGAUGGGGAAUUUGGUGGGGGAAGAAGAAUAGAAAUGCCAUAGACAAGUUUGAUUUUGAAAGGUCUGGAUUGUUCACUUGGGUCAUGAGUAAUACAUACACAAGAAGGCAUGAGGAGCCUCCACCAACGCCAUAUCAAAGUGAAGAACUAGAAAGGGACAAGCACACAUUGGGGCAAUAACAUGUGCACAUUAGAGAAAGUGACAAGGGACAAAGACACAUGUGCUUGUCAAUCAGAAGCGUGCUCGUAGUUUACGUUAUACGAAUCAAUUAAAAAUUCGUAUUUGGCUAAUCUCCAUUUCCAAAAGCAACAUCCUCAUGAAUCUUAGUGUAAUAUGGGAAUUUGGUUUCUUAUGUGAUUAGUAUAUGGCUAGCUAUAACGUUCAAUAAUUCGAUAUACAUGCAAGGUGAACAUUAUUAAAUAUUGGC
rnacentral:lncRNA from 1 species